GGGAUUACAGGCCUGAGCCACUGUGCCCAAA
rnacentral:piRNA from 1 species